AGUGAAUAGAUACCCGGGUAGUCCACGCCGUAAACGUUGUAUACUAGGUGUAGGUGGUUUGCCACCUGUGCCGACGCAAAAAUGCAUUAAGUAUACCGCCUGGGGAGUACGUCCGCAAGGAUGAAACUCAAAGAAAUUGACGGGGCCCGGCACAAGCGGUGGAGCAUGUGGUUUAAUUACGAUGAUACGCGAAAAACCUUAACCUGGGCGUUGUAACUGUGCAUGACAGGUGUAGAGAUACACCCUCCUUCGGGUCGAUGUACAGAGGUGCUGCAUGGCGUGUCGUCAGCUCGUGUCGUGAGAUGUUGGGUUAAGUCCCGCAACGAGCGCAACCC
rnacentral:rRNA from 1 species